CAUCCAGGAGGCUUGGGUGGGGCCCAGGAAUCUGACUUUGUGUCAUUUUUCUGGUGGAAUUUUGUGCAGUUGGCUGAUAGGUACACAUUUCAUAAACACUGGUUUCAGAGCUGGAGAGCCUCAGAGCUAUAAUAAAAUUGUUUUUCCUGUAGGAAUUAUGUUAUAAAAAGUAAGGAAGAUGCUUUUUAUACUUGUAUGUAAAUUUUAUUACCAAAAUGAAAAAUAAUAAACUUUGUUGAUUAAAAAAGACAACAAACCUAAACAGCACUGAGAACAAAGGAAAAACUGACGAGUUGAAAGACAAAAGGAAAAAAUGAUGAUUAAGCACAUCAUCAAAAUGUGCUUAAUUAUGCACACUUCACAAUGGUGGACAGUAACCAAGAGGAUGUGACAUCAACUGUCCCCCUCAAACAGAGCCACUGGUGAUCUGAUGCUGGCCUACAACUGUUCACAUAAGUAAAGCAUAGGUAAGAUUUGUCAAAAGCUGCUAUUAUAAAUUUUACUUUAUGGUUGAUAAUAGAACAAGGACUUCUGGAACAUCUCAUGCAAAUGUAUGCAAAUGAGCACACUGAUGUAUACAAAAAAGCAAAAGCAAGCAUGAUGUUCUUCCCUGUUCUCUGCAAACAAGCUCUGUUACCUUAUUUUAAAAUAAGCUCUGCAAUAAAGUCACUAGAAACAAGGGUA